rnacentral:rRNA from 1 species
UACGUAGGGUGCAAGCGUUGUCCGGAAUUAUUGGGCGUAAAGAGCUCGUAGGCGGUUUGUCGCGUCUGCUGUGAAAACCCGAGGCUCAACCUCGGGCCUGCAGUGGGUACGGGCAGACUAGAGUGCGGUAGGGGAGACUGGAAUUCCUGGUGUAGCGGUGAAAUGCGCAGAUAUCAGGAGGAACACCGGUGGCGAAGGCGGGUCUCUGGGCCGAUACUGACGCUGGAGGAGCGA